rnacentral:rRNA from 1 species
GACGAACGCUGGCGGCGUGCCUAAUACAUGCAAGUCGAGCGCAGGAAACUGACGGAACUCUUCGGAGGGAAGGCAGUGGAAUGAGCGGCGGACGGGUGAGUAACGCGUAAGGAACCUGCCUCAAGGAUUGGGAUAACUCCGAGAAAUCGGAGCUAAUACCGGAUAGUUCAACGGACCGCAUGGUCCGCUGAUGAAAGGCGCUUCGGCGUCACCUUGAGAUGGCCUUGCGGUGCAUUAGCUAGUUGGUGGGGUAACGGCCCACCAAGGCGACGAUGGAUAGCCGACCUGAGAGGGUGAUCGGCCACACUGGGACUGAGACACGGCCCAGACUCCUACGGGAGGCAGCAGUAGGGAAUCUUCCACAAUGGACGAAAGUCUGAUGGAGCAACGCCGCGUGAGUGAUGAAGGUUUUCGGAUCGUAAAACUCUGUUGUAAGGGAAGAACACGUACGAGAGGAAAUGCUCGUACCUUGACGGUACCUUACGAGAAAGCCACGGCUAACUACGUGCCAGCAGCCGCCGCCG